rnacentral:sRNA from 1 species
GCCGGGCACAGUGGAGCACACCUGUAAUCCCAGCAGCUCUGGAGGCUGAGACAGGAGGAUCACAAGUUCAAAGCCAGCCUCAGCAACUUAGCAAGGCACUAAGCAACUCAAUGAGACCCUGUCUCUA